UAAGAUGGGCAUAAUGGCUACACAAGCCUGGCGUUUGGUGUGAGGAUGCGGUGAGAACAUGGGGGUUCGUGUCGAAGGUGCUGCCUGCAGUACCUACCCUGGCCUCUGUAACGGCCAUGCUGCCCACCCCCAGGCAGCGGCACGGUGGACUUUGAUGAGUUCCUGGUCAUGAUGGUUCGGUGCAUGAAGGACGACAGCAAAGGGAAAUCUGAGGAGGAGCUGUCUGACCUCUUCCGCAUGUUUGACAAAAACGCUGAUGGCUACAUCGACCUGGAUGAGCUGAAGAUAAUGCUGCAGGCUACAGGCGAGACCAUCACAGAGGACGACAUCGAGGAGC
rnacentral:sRNA from 1 species